CAUUGAGAGAAGCAUGACCUGGGGAGCUCAGGAAAGAUGCAGCAUGUUGGAUGGAAAACAUCUAUGAACUGGACCUGUGUCACAGGCUGCUAGCUGGACUUUGGGUACUGGAUUAUUGAGAAUGGCAAGUGAUGUGAAGAAUGUAGAUAAAUUCAGGAGAAUUCUCAGUGGGACAGAGCCUCAUCAUUCCCCGUUUACUGUGGUACUGUGGCAUGUGAUGAGAACAAGGGAGGUUUGCACAUUUGGAGUGGCUCCUGUGUGUCUCAAUACAUCUCAGGCUCUCCCGAGGAUCAGAGGAACAAGCACUGCCUUCUUCAUCCCCCCUUGUGUGGGUACUUCAGCAGCUGCUGGUGUCCACCCAGUUUCAAAG
rnacentral:lncRNA from 14 species